UCCUUUGUGGUUCAGAUGGUAAAGCGUCUGCCUGCAAUGCAGGAGACCUGGGUUCGAUUCCUGGGUUGGGAU
rnacentral:tRNA from 1 species